rnacentral:rRNA from 1 species
GAUGAACGCUAGCGGCAGGCUUAAUACAUGCAAGUCGUGGGGCAGCAGGACUGUAGCAAUACAGUUGCUGGCGACCGGCAAACGGGUGCGGAACACGUACGCAACUUACCCUGAACUGGGGGAUAGCCCGGGGAAACCCGGAUUAAUACCCCGUAAUAUAAUGGAGUGGCAUCACUUUAUUAUUAAAGCUCCGGCGGUUCGGGAUGGGCGUGCGGCUGCUUAGGUAGUUGGUUGAGGUAACGGCUCACCAAGCCUACGAUCAGUAACUGGUGUGAGAGGACGGCCCAUCACACGGGAACUGAGAAACUGCCCCGACUCCUACGGGAGGCAGCAGUAAGGAAUAUUGGGCAAAGGAGGCAACUCUGACCCAGCCAUGCCGCGUGGAAGAUGAAGGCCCUCUGGGUUGUAAUCUUCUUUUAUAGGGGACGAAACCUGUGUAUUCUUACGCAGUUGACGGUACACUAGGAAUAAGCACCGGCUAACUCCGUG